ensembl:ncRNA T28B4.6 ncRNA
UGCUGCUCCAAGCACGGGAAUUCCGGAAUGAGAUUCCAAGGAUGCUGAGCCGGCAAAGCAAUAGAAAAAGUAAGGGAAUGGAUAGGGGAGAUAGACAGAAGUCUAAAGUUUAAUUUUAUUGGGCAAGCAAGAAGGAAAAGUAAGAUGGAGGGAAAACUGAAUUCGAGCAAGACGGGCACUUUCCCCAAACUUCUCUCUCCACUUGG